ensembl:lncRNA
GUGAUUAUCUACGGUAGUCUGUACAUUUCCUCUCAGACUAUGUUGGGGGGGUGCAAGGAUAGAUGAUUCGUUUUAGGUGUUAAGCGUCAUCCAACAUGGGGCAUCGGUCAGAAUGCCAGGUAGAGGAAUGAUGAGGAGACGAUGGGCUUGGUUAUCGAAUUGUAUUCUUAGAGAAGCUGAGACUGUGCAGAUAACGGUGGCUGAUGAAGUGGCUGAUGAAGUCAUCAACAGUACCAUGAGCAUCUGUCUGGAGGGGUCUGAAGAGAAACCUCUGGUGAGCUCCAACCCUGACACAGGUAAAGUCAUCAGAGAGCUCCUGGACAUCCUAUUUGAUGAUGCCCUGUCAGCGAGUCUCUAG